GAAUCGCGAUAAGUAAUGUGAAUUGCAGAUUUUCAGUGAAUCAUCGAAUCUUUGAACGCACCUUGCGCUCCUUGGUAUUCCGAGGAGCAUGCCUGUUUGAGUGUCAUCGAAUUCUCAACCAUGUCUUGAUUGAUAUGGCUUGGAGUUGGGGGGUUGCUGGCGGCCAAUCCGACCGUCRGCUCUCCUGAAAUGCAUUAGCAAAAGGGGUGUGAACGUCCUUUUCGGCGUGCACGGCCUUCGACGUGAUAAUGAUCGUCGUGGCUGGAGCGUCUGGGGACGGUGCACUUCCUGUGCUUCUAACAUAUAUGCUAGCUUGCUAGCUUUCUUCGUGACUUGACCUCAAAUCAGGUAGGACUACCCGCUGAACUUAA
rnacentral:rRNA from 1 species